rnacentral:rRNA from 1 species
UGCAUAGGAAUCUGCCCAGUAGUGGGGGAUAACGUGGAGAAAUCCACGCUAAUACCGCAUGUGUCCUACGGGACAAAGCAGGGGACCUUCGGGCCUUGCGCUAUUGGAUGAGCCUAUGUCGGAUUAGCUUGUUGGUGAGGUAACGGCUCACCAAGGCAACGAUCCGUAGCUGGUCUGAGAGGAUGAUCAGCCACACUGGGACUGAGACACGGCCCAGACUCCUACGGGAGGCAGCAGUGGGGAAUAUUGCACAAUGGGCGCAAGCCUGAUGCAGCAAUGCCGCGUGUGUGAAGAAGGCCU